CUAAGAGUUUGAUCCUAGCUCAGGAUGAACGCUGGCGGCGUGUCUAAGGCAUGCAAGUCGAUUGUGCUCUUCGGAGUAACAAGGCGAACGGGUGAGUAACACAUUGGUAACCUACCCCCGAGACGGGCAUAACUCCUCGAAAGAGGAGAUAAUUCCCGAUGGUCUCAAAGAUCAAAAGUUCUUUGAGUAAAACUCCGGUGCUCGGGGAGGGGCCUAUGUCUGAUUAGCUAGUUGGUGAGGUAAUAGCUCACCAAGGCUAUGAUCAGUAGCGGGGAUGGAAGUCUGACCCGCCUCACUGGGACUGAGACACUGCCCAGACUCCUACGGGAGGCUGCAGUCGAGAAUCUUCCUCAAUGGCCGCAAGGCUGAAGGAGCGACGCCGCGUGCAG
rnacentral:rRNA from 1 species